UGGUGGGUGAUGACGGGAUCGAACCGCCGACCCCCUCCUUGUAAGGGAGGUGCUCUCCCAGCUGAGCUAAUCACCC
rnacentral:tRNA from 1 species